GGUCUCCUCCCAAAGAGUAACGGAGGAGCACGAAGGUGGGCUAAUCACGGUUGGACAUCGUGAGGUUAGUGCAAUGGCAUAAGCCCGCUUAACUGCGAGAAUGACGGUUCGAGCAGGUGCGAAAGCAGGUCAUAGUGAUCCGGUGGUUCUGUAUGGAAGGGCCAUCGCUCAACGGAUAAAAGGUACUCCGGGGAUAACAGGCUGAUACCGCCCAAGAGUUCAUAUCGACGGCGGUGUUUGGCACCUCGAUGUCGGCUCAUCACAUCCUGGGGCUGAAGUCGGUCCCAAGGGUAUGGCUGUUCGCCAUUUAAAGUGGUACGCGAGCUGGGUUUAGAACGUCGUGAGACAGUUCGGUCCCUAUCUGCCGUGGGCGUUGGAAGAUUGAAGGGGGCUGCUCCUAGUACGAGAGGACCGGAGUGGACGAACCUCUGGUGUUCGGGUUGUGUCGCCAGACGCAUUGCCCGGUAGCUAAGUUCGGAAUUGAUAAGCGCUGAAAGCAUCUAAGCGCGAAGCGAGCCCUGAGAUGAGUCUUCCCUGACAGUUUAACUGUCCUAAAGGGUUGUUCGAGACUAGAACGUUGAUAGGCAGGGUGUGUAAGCGUUGUGAGGCGUUGAGCUAACCUGUACUAAUUGCCCGUGAGGCUUAACCAUACAACACCCAAGG
rnacentral:rRNA from 1 species